AGGUUGAUAUUCCUGAACCACCGUUAGCGUUAUGAGCGAUGGAGGGACGCAGGAGGCUAAGCCAGCCGACGAUUGGAAGUGUCGGUCUAAGCCCGUAGGAUGACUGGGGUAGGCAAAUCCACCCGGUUAUAUCCGAGAAGCGAAUGGGAGUCCCCACGGGGAUGAACUGGUUGAUGCCACGCUGCCGAGAAAAUCUUCUAGCCAGCAAAACGGUGCCUGUACCGUAAACCGACACAGGUAGGCAGGUAGAGAAUACUAAGGUGCGCGAGAUAACCCUCGUUAAGGAACUCGGCAAAAUAGCCUCGUAACUUCGGGAGAAGUUGCCCCUGAUUGUGAGUGUCCACGCGGCACAGAGCAGCUGGGGGUCGCAGUGAAGAGGCUCAACCGACUGUUUAACAAAAACACAGGUCUCUGCUAAGCCGUAAGGCGACGUAUAGGGGCUGACUCCUGCCCAGUGCCGGAAGGUUAAGAGGGGGCGUUCAUAGCGCCGAAUCGAAGCCCCGGUGAACGGCGGCCGUAACAAUAACGGUCCUAAGGUAGCGAAAUUCCUUGUCGGGUAAGUUCCGACCCGCACGAAUGGAGUAACGAGUUGAGCGCUGUCUCGACGAGGGGCUCGGCGAAAUUGGAUUAUCUGUGAAGAUACGGAUUCCCCAUACCAGGACAGAAAGACCCCAUGGAGCUUUACUGUAGCCUGUCAUUGAAUCUGGGUUUUGCUUGUGCAGGAUAGGUGGGAGGCUGUGAAGCCGGGGCGUCAGCUUCGGUGGAGCCAACGGUGAGAUACCACUCUGGCAAGACUUAGGUCCUAACUUCGACCCGUUAUCCGGGCGAAGGACCGUGGCAGGUAGGCAGUUUGACUGGGGCGGUCGCCUCCCAAAAAGUAACGGAGGCGCCCAAAGGUUCCCUCAGGCUGGUUGGAUAUCAGCCAUCGAGUGUAAAGGCACAAGGGAGCUUGACUGCGAGACUGACAGGUCGAGCAGGUACGAAAGUAGGGCUUAGUGAUCCGACGACUCCGCAUGGAAGGGUCGUCGCUCAUCGGAUAAAAGUUACCCUGGGGAUAACAGGCUGAUCUCCCCCAAGAGUCCACAUCGACGGGGAGGUUUGGCACCUCGAUGUCGGCUCGUCGCAACCUGGGGCGGUAGUACGUCCCAAGGGUUGGGCUGUUCGCCCAUUAAAGCGGUACGUGAGCUGGGUUCAGAACGUCGUGAGACAGUUCGGUCCAUAUCCGGUAUGGGCGUAGGGGAAUUGACAGGAGCCGUCCUUAGUACGAGAGGACCGGGACGGACGGACCGCCAGUGUACGGGUUGUCGCGCCAGCGGCACAUGCCCGGUAGCUGUGUCCGGAGUGGAUAAAAGCUGAAAGCAUCUAAGUUUGAAGCCCACCUGAAGAUGAGUUCCCCCACUGGGUUAACCAGGUAAGACCCCACGAAGAACACGUGGUUGAUAGGCCGCAGAUGGAAGCACAGUAAUGUGUGUAGUCGAGCGGUACUAAUCGGUCGAGGGCUUGACCAA
rnacentral:rRNA from 1 species